rnacentral:rRNA from 4 species
GCGACCCCAGCUCAGGCGAGAACACCCGCUGAGUUUAA